GGAUAAUCCCGGGCAACCGGGGAAAGGCGGGCGUUAAUUGGUGACGCCCUCCCCUCCGCGGCGCGAGCCGCCGGCAGGCAAAUAUCACCAGUUCCUCUGGACGGCGUCGCAGCCGUUCCAGUAUUGCGACAUAGGAGCUGUGCGGCGAGGCGUGACCUAGAAACCACGUCCGAGCCGAGUCAGGUCCAAGGCCAGUUUCGGGCCUUGCACCGAUGCAGUUACCCAGAGGGUUAUGGUUGCUACUGUAUGACCAGGACGCAGCGCGUUGUUCCGGUGGGUCCACCCCACCAAAAGGCCCGGCCCGCAAAGGCGGGGCGCGAAAGGGACAAGGCGCAGCGGGGAGCGGGCGAGUCUGGCAAAGCUCGCAAAACCUCCUCAUUGGGGCGGUCCCGUAAAGCGGGAUCACCCAACUGCAAAUCGAAAGCAACCUGAGAGGUAAGAGGUCAGACCCGUUACACGGGGCCAACGCCCGGCCAAAAGCCGGGGCCGUCCCCGUGGCAAGGUGCUGGUGCGAAAUGCCACGUUGCAGGCGUGCCAACACCCGUCCGGCGAGUUUCCCAUCGGCAGAUGGAGCCGAACCGGGCGGAGAGGCCUCACUCGAAAAAUUCCGGAGCAGAAAUGUCCGGGACGGUCCCGCUAUGAGACCGACAGCAUCGCAUGCCGCGAUGAGUAGCGUCGGGAAGCACACGGCCCGCGAAAGCGAGGCGCCCAAUGUUGUGCGAAUGGGGAAGAGUGCGUGGCGAGCACC
rnacentral:sRNA from 1 species